UACGUAGGGGGCGAGCGUUGUCCGGAUUCAUUGGGCGUAAAGAGCUCGUAGGCGGCUUGGUAAGUCGGGUGUGAAACCUCCAGGCUCAACCUGGAGACGCCACUCGAUACUGCCAUGGCUAGAGUCCGGUAGGGGCCCACGGAAUUCCCGGUGUAGAGGUGAAAUUCGUAGAUAUCGGGAGGAACACCAGUGGCGAAGGCGGCGAUCUGGGAAGAUACUGACGCUGAGGUGCGAAAGCGUGGGGAGCAAACAGG
rnacentral:rRNA from 1 species